rnacentral:rRNA from 1 species
UACGCUGGCGGCACGCCUAACACAUGCAAGUCGAACGAAGUAGCAAUACUUAGUGGCAGACGGGUGAGUAACAUGUAGGUAUCUGCCCUUUGGCCUGGAAUAACACGAGGAAACUUGUGCUAAUACCGGAUAAGUCUUUACGGAGAAAGCUUUAUGCACCAUUGGAUGAGCCUGCACUUGAUUAGUUUGUUGGUGGGGUAAUGGCCUACCAAGACUGUGAUCAAUAGCUGAUUUGAGAGGAUGAUCAGCCACAUUGGGACUGAGACACGGCCCAAACUCCUACGGGAGGCAGCAGUGGGGAAUCUUGCACAAUGGAGGAAACUCUGAUGCAGCGAUGCCGCGUGAGUGAAGAAGGCCUUUGGGUUGUAAAGCUCUUUCGUCGGGGAAGAAAAUGACUGUACCCGAAUAAGAAGGUCCG